rnacentral:rRNA from 1 species
GACGAACCGUGCGAACGUUGUUCGGAAUCACUGGGCUUAAAGGGCGCGUAGGCGGGCUGUCAAGUCUGGGGUGAAAUCCCUCGGCUCAACCGAGGAACUGCGUCCGAUACUGGCAGGCUGGAAUCCGGGAGAGGGAUGUGGAAUUCCAGGUGUAGCGGUGAAAUGCGUAGAUAUCUGGAGGAACACCGGUGGCGAAGGCGGCAUCCUGGACCGGUAUUGACGCUGAGGCGCGAAAGCUAGGGGAGCAAACGGG